UAGUGAUACAACUUCAUAACAUGCUGUCA
rnacentral:piRNA from 1 species